CGGCGGACGGGUGAGUAACGCGUGGGUAACCUGCCUCAUACAGGGGGAUAACAGUUGGAAACGGCCGCUAAUACCGCAUAAGCGCACAGUACCGCAUGGUACCGUGUGAAAAACUCCGGUGGUAUGAGAUGGACCCGCGUCUGAUUAGGUAGUUGGUGGGGUAACGGCCUACCAAGCCGACGAUCAGUAGCCGACCUGAGAGGGUGACCGGCCACAUUGGGACUGAGACAUGGCCCAA
rnacentral:rRNA from 1 species